UUUUUUAAAGAUUUUAUUUAUUUAUUCAUGAGAGACACAGAGAGAGAGAGGCAGAGACACAGGCAGAGGGAGAAGCAGGCUCCAUGCAGGGAGCCUGACGUGGGACUUGAUCCCGGGUCUCCAGGAUCACGCCCUGGGCUGAAGGCGGUGCUAAACCGCUGAGUCACCAAGGCUGCCCCAGUUUCUCCUUUUCUUAACUCCUGACCGUCUCCCUGCCCCCCAUCCCAAGCUGGUUUUUAUAUUGUCUCUAUUGGUUUGCCUAUUCUAAUGUUUCACAUAAGUAGAGAGAACACGGGGCCUUUUGCAUUUCGCUGCUUUCACUUACUAUCAUGUUUUUAAGGUUCCUCUGUGUGCAGGACAGACGUAUCAGAACUUCAUUUGUUUUGUAGCUAAAUGAUACUUGGUCGUGUGGACCUACUGCAUUUCAUGCAUCUAUUCAGCUGCUGAUGGACACCCGGGUUGCUUCCAGCUUCCGGCUACUGUGGUACUGUUACCAGGACCGCUGGUUGCAGGUUUCCAUCUGAGUCCCCGUUUCCAGGUCUUUUGGGUGCACAGCCAACCACAAGUGGAAUCGCUGGGUAAUUCUACAUCUCGCUUUUUGAGGAAGCACCAAACUGCCUUCCACGGUGGCUGCACCAUGUCGUGUUCCCACCGGUGACACAUGAGGAUCGUGGUUAUCCUCGUGGAUAUGACGUGGUGUCUUGGCGUGUGUGCGCCUUUAAAGAGACUUGGUUGUACAGAGAGGUUUUAAGUUUGCUGUAACAUUGAGAGGAGGGUCCAGAGGUUUUCCAUACGCCCCCGCACCCCAACUCGUGCACAGCCUGCCCCGCUAUCAGCAUCCCCACUGGAAGGCACAUCCGUUGCACCGGUGAACCUCCACUGACACGUCAUCACUGUCAGAGCCCACGUUUUAUACUAGGGUCACCUUGGUGCCAUACACUUUGUGGGCUUGGACAAAUGGGGACAUAUACUCCAUGUCACACAGAGGUUUUCAGUGCCCUAAAUGUCCUCCGUGCUUCCUGUCCAUCCCUUCCUUGUCCCCUUGACCCCUGGCAGCCACUGGCCCCUUUACUGUCUCUGCAGUUCUGCUUUUUCCCUCGUGGGGUUUUGGAGGUUUUCCUAGGAGAGAAUCUCGUCUACAUGUUCUUGGCAGUCUCCCGCAGCAGGGCUGGAGGACAGUGGGCCGGUGUAAAGGGGCCCACAGAUGAGCACAGAGCCAAACAUGCAGGGGGGAUGCCCCGUCACCUCCGCUGGGGCCCCUUCAGGAGAGGAGUCGUUCGUCCCAGAUGGUUUUCUCCCAAAUGCACAGUCGCUCAGGCAGGGGAGCCGCACCCCUGCCCCUCACAUUGGGGUUAAUGUCCACACAGCGUCAUUAAUCAUUAUUGUAAUUAUUUUUAGUUUCAUGAGACUGCAAGUGGCUUAACUUGCUCUGCGUUUUUGCAAGGUAUCCUUGAUCCUUCGAAAGUAAAAUUAAAGGAUAUAAUUAGCUCGUUUAAUAGAGAAUUGCACUCGGUUUGCUGUCACCCUAAUGGCUCGCUCCCCUCCUCCGCUUCAGGGUUAUUAAUGGGUGUUAUUGCGAGCAGCCCGCCCCUGUGAUGAGGGCUCUUCCCGGCUGGUCUCGCCUCUUCAUGUCCCCAAACGGGGUCACUCCACUUCUUUGCGUCCUUCCACACAGUCUGAAACAGGACCCCAUGAUGAGUGUAGCACAUCUCUCAGGUGGACAGGCACAGGGUUGUGAGUCAGAGUGGCAGGGCAUAGCAGGGAAAGCUAGUGCAACACAUACAGGGGCAGACAGAAGCUUGACUCUGAACAAGGCUGUGCAGUUCUUCUGCAUGCAUCCAGUGCUUCAGGAGACAUAUUGUUUGCAAAGCAGGUGGAGCUCUGUUUGCAGACCCCCAGGCAUGAGUCCUAUUAACCCCACCAGGCAAGCAUUUCCUCUCUGCCGGGGGUGCACACCGCCUUUCCCUGGGCUGGAACAGAAGCCACGAGGCCCCGGUGACUGCAGGAGCUGCGAGAUCCUCCUACAGUUCAGCAGGUGUUGCUGGCAGGGAAGCCGCGGGCCCUUGGACCACUGAUUUCAAUGUGCAAUGGAAACUAAAAAGCUUGAAUAUUCCCCAAGUUCCUUGAUACACCGUUUUUUUUUUUUAAUUACGUUUUUUUUUGUAAAUGCAAGGAAAAUUACAACUCUGCUCAAUGUCUGACAGGAGGCAGAACAGAGUUCUGUAAUGUGACUUAGGAGACUUCCCGUGGUCUGACAUCCUGGCCCAUUCCCAGCUCCAAGUAUCACCGAGUCUUUAGGAACUCCUCCCUCCCUCCCUUCCAACGGGUGCAGAAGCCUGGAGAUACAGUGAAAAGUCACUUCUCUCUUCCCAGCUCAACAGGGCAGUGGAGUCCAUUUGAGCUGGGCCACCCCAGCUGAAAGGGCUCCCCGCUGCACUGAGAUGGGACCCCUCGGCCACUUGCCUCUGGCCUGACAAGCUGUUUGGCAAAGUGUUCACCUGGGCAGACUUGGCAACUGCGUGUCGGCAGCAGGUGUGCCCCCAUGACAGCCCAGCUCAGGACCAGCUACACCCUGUCCCCCAGGCCCCGGACACUUCCCCUCCCACCCCAGGUGCUGUGGCAGCUGCUCUAGAAAACACGUGUGCACAUUUCCUAUUUUAGUAUAUGUGCUGCUGAAGCGAGCACGUGUGCACAUUUCCUAAGACGAGAGUGCAAGCAGGCUGUAAGUACACGUGGCGGGGCGGGGUGUGUGUGUGCGUGAGCACCUCUGGACGAAAAGAGGGUCACUUGCAAACUGCACAAAAUGAAGCAAAACACUAGCUAGGGUGCAAAAAAAAAAGCUUGAUUCAAAUGUUUAAAAAAAAACAUGAGAAAUUAUUUUCUUCCUUGUGUUGAAUCUCAAAAGACUUAAAAGGGCAUGUGUGUGUGGGGGGGGUUGUGGAUAAAGCACUUUGGUGAAUUUUUUAAAAGAGAAACAUUUUGUUAACUCGAUAGCUUUAUUUUUAACUCACUGUUUUCCGAUUCAAUAAAAGUCUUUAUCAACUGACUUCAUUUUAUAAGUCGCUAAAUUGAGGGCUUUGCCUUCUGUAUUUUAGUAAUUCCUACUUGCCAGACUCAAAACAAGCUGUGUAUCUAUAUAUAAAAAACCGAGACUUGAGAACAGACAAGGAGGGGAAGUUCUGAGCUCCGUGCCUCCCCAGGACUUGGCUGAGACGGUCCACUGUUUGGAUGGCCA
rnacentral:lncRNA from 1 species